AUUAAGUUGAGAUCUGAAGUUUAUUUUGCUGUACAACUCCUCUUGUUUUUGGAGUUUUACUUGCUUCUAAAACAAGAAAGGCAAGUUUUUUUCUGCUUUCAUGAUGAUGGAAAGCAGAUAACUCCUUUAUGAAGUUUGAACUCACUUCCAACAGCGAAGAUGAGGCUUUUUGUUUGUUUUGUUUUGUUUUCCUUCUUCUAGGAUUGUAGAGAGAAUUCUUCAGCCUGAGACCCAACCUUGGGUUUUGAGACUCGAACUUGGCUUCCUUGCUCCUUAGUUUGCAGAUGACCUAUUGUGGGGCUUCACCUUGAGAUAAGAUCAUCUGCAUCUCAUUCUUGGUCCAUGAGAAUAAGCAGCGCACACCUUGGUUUGGUCCGGGAAUAAAUUUGGUGAGCCAGCCAGCUGCUGCAUUCGGCAGCCAGAGGCUUGCGAUGAGACAGUCUUCAGGAGGAUCCCAGCA